GAAGAAAGUUAGUCUUACAGGUUUGGAAUGACAUGAAGGACUCUGAUUCACCCCGGCACUCCACUGCCUCCAACAGCUCCACCUUCAGCAGCCCGCCGAGCCCUGCCUCCCCGCACAAGACAAAGUCCCUCUCACUGGAGAGCACAGACCGCACAGGGUGGGACACAUGAUGGACUCAACAAUGAACCAAUCACAACAAACUUUGAGUCUGCCAGUCACAGUGCUCCGUCCCCUCCCAUACAGUCGCACCCAGGCACUACAGGCCCCUCCCACUUCAUUUGCAUAAAGCAUCACCACUGGGGAACGUACACAGGAGAAACCACACCAACACAAGAGUUUGUAUGUUUGAGCGACCAGGACACGCAUGACUACGACCCCGCAAAAGCUGAUUGGAGGAAAAAGUGGAAGUUAGGUUCUGGGUUUUAAUGUGACUGGUGUUUGUACAUAGACUGGGUUAGGGUUGAACUUUUAUUUAUUUAUCAUUCAGCCAUUUCAAGGUGGAAAAUACUGUCACGUCCCUCACACUCGUUCUUCAGCUGUGGACCAUAUGGGAAUGAUGAUUCCAUUAUAGAAUCCCACUAAUUUACCUGGAGGAAAAAAUGCAAUGAUGUAUAUUUUUUAUUUGCUUUUAAAAGUGGUGUGUGCUGUGAUUCGUUUGUUACUUCGGCUAAAUGGAUGAGAGACCGCAGAUAUCAGGCGACCUCAUCUAUCGCUUCCUGUCCUAGAUUUGUAGGAAUAUAUAGAGGCUUUCUGACACGAUGAUGUCUUGGAAUCUGUCACCGUCAUCAUCGCCAAUCUCCACGUAAUCCAAACCUUCCGUGAACCAACAUGACCUGUGAAAACACAUCACAGUAAUGUACAUAGCUUAAAAGUAUAGUCUAAUAUAUAAUAAGGAAAUAUUGAAGAGAUAAACUAUGUGGAAAAAAAAAUCUCAUUGUUUUUAUUUU